UGUGUAGGCGGUUCUCCAAGUUUGGUGUGAAAUCUCCCGGCUCAACCGGGAGGGUGCGCCGAAAACUGGAGGGCUGGAGUGCGGGAGGGGAGAGUGGAAUUCCUGGUGUAGCGGUGAAAUGCGUAGAUAUCAGGAGGAACACCGGUGGUGUAGACGGCUCUCUGGACCGUAACUGACGCUGAGACACGAAAGCGUGGGUAGCAAACAGGAUUAGAUACCCUGGUAGUCCACGCCCUAAACGAUGCAUAUUUGGUGUGGGUCAUUCAGUUGAUCCGUGCCGGAGCUAACGCGUUAAAUAUGCCGCCUGGGGAGUACAGUCGCAAGGCUAGAA
rnacentral:rRNA from 1 species